rnacentral:rRNA from 1 species
UACGAAGGGUGCAAACGUUGCUCGGAAUUACUGGGCGUAAAGCGUGCGUAGGCGGUUCGUUAAGUUCGUUGUGAAAGCCCCGGGCUCAACCUGGGAACUGCAAUGGAAACUGGCGGGCUUGAGUGUGGCAGAGGGGGGUGGAAUUCCGCGUGUAGCAGUGAAAUGCGUAGAGAUGCGGAGGAACACCGAUGGCGAAGGCAGCCCCCUGGGCCAACACUGACGCUCAGGCACGAAAGCGUGGGGAGCAAACAGG